rnacentral:lncRNA from 1 species
CUCCAAAAUUCUAACCAAAUGGCUUUGGGCCAUCCUAAGAGAUACGAUUUGCUAGACACCAACAGCGAAUUCAAGACUAUGCCGUCUGCAUUUUAAAGUGACUGAUUUUAUUACUGAACCUUUAGAUCAAUCCCGUGAUAAAGGAAAAUCACUCCAACAAAGGCGGUUGAAAGAGGAAGCCAUCCCAUCAAAGUGGCUGAAACUGGCAAGCUACCUCUCAUCACCAUCACCACCUCCAAGACCAACACAGGAAUCAACUAGCACCAAUAGAGUGCAUUUGGAGAAUGAAAGACAAGAAGCUCUGGAAUAUGCAAUGUUUAUAGAAGAGACCGUUCUUUCGGCAAAAUAUCUCUAUGACAAACUCUCUUUGGAAUCAUUGCCUUCGGGGUUCUUGUUGCUUAAAACUCCAAAAGUUGCAUGUUUCAUCUCUUCAAACAUCCUUAAGGUAAAAGAUAUUCUGCUAGACUCCUUUCUGUUGCUUUGAUAUGACACAAUGUCAGUUCUGGUCUCUACGAGCAAAUACAUACGUCCAAUCCUCUGUCACUUCCGACUUCCAGAUAUCUUAGGACCGUAUCCAGUGUGAUUACGGUAGAAACAGGAUUACCUUCAUCCACGACAAAGUACAUAGAAGCACGAAUUAGAGGCUUGAAGAACAGAGAAAAAAAAUGUAAUACUGAUGAUCGACGACAUUUAUUCGGCCUAAAGAGUAGAGUUUGUUAGAGGAAAAAUUGUGGGAACUACAAAUAAUCAAACUUCUAAAACUGUACUUUAUAUUUAACAAAUGUCUAAAGGAUAUUAGUUUCACGUUAAUCUUUUCCUUAUUUGACAAAAUUUACAUCUUCAAGUUCACCUAUACAAAGCCGAGAAAAGAUAACAUUGAGAUCCUCAGUUAAAAUUAUUAACUUGAUUUGAGUAUAUAUGAAAUCAAAUCCCUUAUGUCCCGAAAGUAGAUCAAUAUGAAAUGCAAAUUGAGAAUAUUAUGGGGAACUUACCCCACUAUAUGACUUUAUCUAGAUGAUCUUCAACACCAGCAAGGAAUAGUAUUUUAUAUAUUUCACUCUCACAAUUAUUUUUAGUACCCUAAUGGAAAAUUCUACGGAAAGGAAAAUCAAACUUAUAAAACGGUUUUAUGAUUUACAAGAGGAAUGCCCUGUCGAAGAAAUAGUUAGCGUACAUAAAUCAAUUUAAGAUAUCUGUCUCUAAAAUAAAAAAAAAUGAUUCUAGCUAGUGCAAAAAAGUGAAUUAUUCUCGUCUUAUCAAUUUGCGAUACCUAUAUCAACAAAAAUAAAUUAGUGAAUAUACUUAGUUGUACUUCAGUGAAGAAUUGUUUACUUAACAAAUAUCCAAAAGGAUACUACUGCAACGUAAAUAGUUUCCUUAUUUGACACAAUUCAAUUUGUUCAAGUCGAUCCAUACAAAACCGAAGAAAGAAUAAUUUCUGAAAUCUUAUCCCUGAAAGUAGAUCAAUAUUAUAUGCCAAUUGAGAAAAUUAUGGGAAAAUCUCCCUGCUAUAUAACUUUCUCUGGAAGACCUUCUACACCAAUAAGGAAUAGUAUUUAUAUUGUCGGAUAUAUAUCACAAUAAUUAUCCAAAAACUUGCUAUGUCUGCACAUCUCGAAAAAUAUAUAACUAUGAUAUGACCUUAAAUUAGGAAAAUAAUAAAAGUAAAUAUUCAACUACCGUUACUUUUCAUAAUACCUUUAAUUAGAAAUUAACUUCUUAAAAACUUAUGUAUAAGUGAGAUCAACAAAAACAUUUCCAAACUGCAUUCGAACUAACAGAUGAUUGUACAUCCAAUAUUAGAUUUUUUUUAAUUGCAUACGAAAUAAAAACUAUUUUUAUACUUAUGUAAAAAAAAUAUAUACUAAAUAAAUGUCGAAAGUAAUAUAAA